AGAGUUUGAUCAUGGCUCAGGACGAACGCUGGCGGCGUGCUUAACACAUGCAAGUCGAACGAGAAGAGAUGAGAAGCUUGCUUCUUAUCAAUUCGAGUGGCAAACGGGUGAGUAACGCGUAAGCAACCUGCCCUUCAGAUGGGGACAACAGCUGGAAACGGCUGCUAAUACCGAAUACGUUCUUUUUGUCGCAUGGCAGAGAGAAGAAAGGGAGGCUCUUCGGGGCUUUCGCUGAAGGAGGGGCUUGCGUCUGAUUAGCUAGUUGGCGGGGUAACGGCCCACCAAGGCAACGAUCAGUAGGGGUUCUGAGAGGAAGGUCCCCCACAUUGGAACUGAGACACGGUCCAAACUCCUACGGGAGGCAGCA
rnacentral:rRNA from 1 species